rnacentral:sRNA from 1 species
UUCAAGAACUUGCCCAUCUCGAUUUCGC